GGCUCAGGACGAACGCUGGCGGCGCGCCUAAAACAUGCAAGUCGAACGAGAAGCCCGGGCUUGCCCGGGUGGACAGUGGCGAACGGGUGAGUAACACGUGAGGAACCUGCCCCGAAGACCGGGACAACACCGGGAAACCGGUGCUAAUACCGGAUACCUUCACCGGAUCGCAUGGUCUGGUGAAGAAAUGGAUUCCGCUUCGGGAUGGCCUCGCGGCCUAUCAGCUUGUUGGUGAGGUAACGGCUCACCAAGGCAACGACGGGUAGCUGGUCUGAGAGGAUGUCCAGCCACACUGGGACUGAGACACGGCCCAGACUCCUACGGGAGGCAACAGUUAGGAAUCUUGCGCAAUGGACGAAAGUCUGACGCAGCGACGCCGCGUGCGGGAUGACGGCCCUCGGGUUGUAAACCGCUUUCAGCAGGGACGAAAUUGACGGUACCUGCAGAAGAAGCCCCGGCCAACUACGUGCCAGCAGCCGCGGUAAUACGUAGGGGGCAAGCGUUGUCCGGAUUUAUUGGGCGUAAAGAGCUCGUAGGUGGUUCGGUAAGUCGGAUGUGAAAUCUCCAGGCUCAACCUGGAGGGGUCAUUCGAUACUGCCGUGACUAGAGUUCGGUAGGGGAGUGUGGAAUUCCUGGUGGAGCGGUGAAAUGCGCAGAUAUCAGGAGGAACACCCGUAGCGAAGGCGGCACUCUGGGCCGAUACUGACACUGAGGAGCGAAAGCGUGGGGAGCGAACAGGAUUAGAUACCCUGGUAGUCCACGCCGUAAACGUUGGGCACUAGGUGUGGGACUCUAUCGACGGGUUCCGUGCCGUAGCUAACGCAUUAAGUGCCCCGCCUGGGGAGUACGGCCCGCAGGCUAAAAC
rnacentral:rRNA from 1 species